CGAUAGUUUUAUUUUUAAAAUGUAACUCAGUACUUUGACCCGUCUCAUUGUGUAUUUUUUACACAAACACGUUGUGUAAAUUGGGAAUCCUUAUCCUUGUCGUAAUCAUGUAAGUACUAGUUUAAAUUGUUUUUGUUUUUAAAAUACCUGAUUUAGCCUCCAAACAAUACCUUUAUCGUUUGAUCGAAUUGAUGAUCAUAUAUGAUGUAUGUUUUCUAGGUUGAACAGGGUUUUUACAUCGAGUAGCAUUGCUGCUGGCCGGAGAAUAAACACGAUUACCAACCAUAUUGUAAGUGUACUGUGCCCUCAUUAGGGUGCAUUCCAUGUAAACUCUACGUCGGAGAUAGGAUAACAUAAUAUUUGCCUUGAUCACGCCAUUACAUUCAAAACAAUUUUACUUUUGGG